CAGUAGCCACGGUAAUACGUAGGGUGCAAGCGUUAAUCGGAAUUACUGGGCGUAAAGCGUGCGCAGGCGGUUAUAUAAGUCAGAUGUGAAAUCCCCGGGCUCAACCUGGGAACUGCAUUUGAGACUGUAUGGCUAGAGUGUGUCAGAGGGGGGUAGAAUUCCACGUGUAGCAGUGAAAUGCGUAGAUAUGUGGAGGAAUACCGAUGGCGAAGGCAGCCCCCUGGGAUAACACUGACGCUCAUACACGAAAGCGUGGGGGGCAAACAGGAUUAGAUACCCCCGUAGUCCCGUCUCUUAUACA
rnacentral:rRNA from 1 species